UAAUUUAUUAUUACAAGAUUGCAGUAGUACUAUUAAGAUGUAUAGUGAGCAGGGAUUUAAUUAGUCAUGUAUCUACUUAUUAGUUAGUUAAUUAAUUAAUUAGAAUCAGGGACUUGCUGCUUUAUGUAGCCCAGGCUGGCCUGUAACUUUUUUUUUUUUAACUUGUGAGUAUGUGUGUGUGUGUGUGUGUGA